rnacentral:rRNA from 1 species
ACGUGGUAUCCUGUCUGAAUAUGGGGGGACCAUCCUCCAAGGCUAAAUACUCCUGACUGACCGAUAGUGAACCAGUACCGUGAGGGAAAGGCGAAAAGAACCCCGGCGAGGGGAGUGAAAAAGAACCUGAAACCGUGUACGUACAAGCAGUGGGAGCCUCUUAAUGGGGUGACUGCGUACCUUUUGUAUAAUGGGUCAGCGACUUAUAUUCUGUAGCAAGGUUAACCGAAUAGGGGAGCCGAAGGGAAACCGAGUCUUAACUGGGCGUUAAGUUGCAGGGUAUAGACCCGAAACCCGGUGAUCUAGCCAUGGGCAGGUUGAAGGUUGGGUAACACUAACUGGAGGACCGAACCGACUAAUGUUGAAAAAUUAGCGGAUGACUUGUGGCUGGGGGUGAAAGGCCAAUCAAACCGGGAGAUAGCUGGUUCUCCCCGAAAGCUAUUUAGGUAGCGCCUCGUGAAUUCAUCUCCGGGGGUAGAGCACUGUUUCGGCAAGGGGGUCAUCCCGACUUACCAACCCGAUGCAAACUGCGAAUACCGGAGAAUGUUAUCACGGGAGACACACGGCGGGUGCUAACGUCCGUCGUGAAGAGGGAAACAACCCAGACCGCCAGCUAAGGUCCCAAAGUCAUGGUUAAGUGGGAAACGAUGUGGGAAGGCCCAGACAGCCAGGAUGUUGGCUUAGAAGCAGCCAUCAUUUAAAGAAAGCGUAAUAGCUCACUGGUCGAGUCGGCCUGCGCGGAAGAUGUAACGGGGCUAAACCAUGCACCGAAGCUGCGGCAGCGACGCUUAUGCGUUGUUGGGUAGGGGAGCGUUCUGUAAGCCUGUGAAGGUGUGCUGUGAGGCAUGCUGGAGGUAUCAGAAGUGCGAAUGCUGACAUAAGUAACGAUAAAGCGGGUGAAAAGCCCGCUCGCCGGAAGACCAAGGGUUCCUGUCCAACGUUAAUCGGGGCAGGGUGAGUCGACCCCUAAGGCGAGGCCGAAAGGCGUAGUCGAUGGGAAACAGGUUAAUAUUCCUGUACUUGGUGUUACUGCGAAGGGGGGACGGAGAAGGCUAUGUUGGCCGGGCGACGGUUGUCCCGGUUUAAGCGUGUAGGCUGGUUUUCCAGGCAAAUCCGGAAAACCAAGGCUGAGGCGUGAUGACGAGGCACUACGGUGCUGAAGCGACAAAUGCCCUGCUUCCAGGAAAAGCCUCUAAGCAUCAGGUAACAUCAAAUCGUACCCCAAACCGACACAGGUGGUCAGGUAGAGAAUACCAAGGCGCUUGAGAGAACUCGGGUGAAGGAACUAGGCAAAAUGGUGCCGUAACUUCGGGAGAAGGCACGCUGAUAUGUAGGUGAAGCGACUUGCUCGUGGAGCUGAAAUCAGUCGAAGAUACCAGCUGGCUGCAACUGUUUAUUAAAAACACAGCACUGUGCAAACACGAAAGUGGACGUAUACGGUGUGACGCCUGCCCGGUGCCGGAAGGUUAAUUGAUGGGGUUAGCGGUAACGCGAAGCUCUUGAUCGAAGCCCCGGUAAACGGCGGCCGUAACUAUAACGGUCCUAAGGUAGCGAAAUUCCUUGUCGGGUAAGUUCCGACCUGCACGAAUGGCGUAAUGAUGGCCAGGCUGUCUCCACCCGAGACUCAGUGAAAUUGAACUCGCUGUGAAGAUGCAGUGUACCCGCGGCAAGACGGAAAGACCCCGUGAACCUUUACUAUAGCUUGACACUGAACAUUGAGCCUUGAUGUGUAGGAUAGGUGGGAGGCUUUGAAGUGUGGACGCCAGUCUGCAUGGAGCCGACCUUGAAAUACCACCCUUUAAUGUUUGAUGUUCUAACGUUGGCCCGUAAUCCGGGUUGCGGACAGUGUCUGGUGGGUAGUUUGACUGGGGCGGUCUCCUCCUAAAGAGUAACGGAGGAGCACGAAGGUUGGCUAAUCCUGGUCGGACAUCAGGAGGUUAGUGCAAUGGCAUAAGCCAGCUUGACUGCGAGCGUGACGGCGCGAGCAGGUGCGAAAGCAGGUCAUAGUGAUCCGGUGGUUCUGAAUGGAAGGGCCAUCGCUCAACGGAUAAAAGGUACUCCGGGGAUAACAGGCUGAUACCGCCCAAGAGUUCAUAUCGACGGCGGUGUUUGGCACCUCGAUGUCGGCUCAUCACAUCCUGGGGCUGAAAUAGGUCCCAAGGGUAUGGCUGUUCGCCAUUUAAAGUGGUACGCGAGCUGGGUUUAGAACGUCGUGAGACAGUUCGGUCCCUAUCUGCCGUGGGCGCUGGAGAACUGAGGGGGGCUGCUCCUAGUACGAGAGGACCGGAGUGGACGCAUCACUGGUGUUCGGGUUGUCAUGCCAAUGGCACUGCCCGGUAGCUAAAUGCGGAAGAGAUAAGUGCUGAAAGCAUCUAAGCACGAAACUUGCCCCGAGAUGAGUUCUCCCUGAGACUUAGAGUCUCCUGAAGGAACGUUGAAGACGACGACGUUGAUAGGCCGGGUGUGUAAGCGCAGCGAUGCGUUGAGCUAACCGGUACUAAUGAACCGUGAGGCUUAACCUU